UAAUACGGAGGGUGCAAGCGUUAAUCGGAAUUACUGGGCGUAAAGCGCACGCAGGCGGUUUGUUAAGUCAGAUGUGAAAUCCCCGGGCUCAACCUGGGAACUGCAUUUGAAACUGGCAAGCUAGAGUCUCGUAGAGGGGGGUAGAAUUCCAGGUGUAGCGGUGAAAUGCGUAGAGAUCUGGAGGAAUACCGGUGGCGAAGGCGGCCCCCUGGACGAAGACUGACGCUCAGGUGCGAAAGCGUGGGGAGCAAACAGGAUUAGAUACCCUGGUAGUCCACGCUGUAAACGAUGUCGAUUUGGAGGUUGUGCCCUUGAGGCGUGGCUUCCGGAGCUAACGCGUUAAAUCGACCGCCUGGGGAGUACGGCCGCAAGGUUA
rnacentral:rRNA from 1 species